AGACAUGUGGCUGCUGUCCUGACAGCGUGUCUGUGCAGGAUAGUGUGUGGCCUCCCACAAAGCUGUGAAUUGACUGGGAGCUGGACUGCCCUGGAGUCUGUGUGGGAGCGGUGUGUUUCCUGCAGCCGCCGCCACUGCUGUAUCGGGCUGUGUAUGCUCUCCUUCAUGCUGCCAGUGGUGCAGUCAUCAGCUGCAGUUGACCCCAGGCUUUACUGCUGUUUUGGCUCUCCUUCUUUGGAUGUGCUUGACACCUGCUCGUCGCACCACGGCCUCCUCAGUACACCCUGCUGCCCUAGGGGCCUGAUGGACCACCCAGGCUCCUUGAGAAGUGUGGCUCUCCUGCGUCGAGCCUAGGAGCUUGAGCCUGCACCAUGCUCGGGCAUUUUUAGAAAUGCAGACGCACUUUUCCUUCUGAUUUUCUUCUUUUUUUCCUUCUUCUGUUCGAUUGCGUUUAAUAGUGAUUACGUUGCUUUAUUGUUCUCUGUUCUAUCCCUUUGGUUCUUGUUAUUUUGUAAUGAUUUGUUUUUUUCAUUUCGUGUAAAUUACUUUGUUCCUCUUUCGUUUGAAUAUUUAGGUAUUGGGUUUUUGUUUUCAGGGUAUGAGGGCUGCCAUCAUUUUGUGAGUUUAAUUGUUGAUUUUCUUUUCUUUUGACAGGUGCUGGGGGUCCCAGAGCGGCAGCGGUUCCCUGGUGGUGGUUCCGUUUUCACUUUUUGGUUUGCUGUGUCACGGGUGCUGUGUGUUUUUGGAUCCUCCCCCCUUUCUGUUACCGCUGU